UCGCCCUUACAGCUCAGUAACACGUAGCUAACCUACCCUUCGGACGAGGACAACCCCGAGAAAUUGGGGUUAAUCCACGAUAGAUAUGAUGUCCUGGAAUGGUAUCACGUCUAAAGGUAUAUCAUACAUGUUUGAUAUACGCCUAAGGAUGGGGCUGCGGCUGAUCAGGCAGUUGGUGAGGUAAUGGCUCACCAAACCAUUGACCAGUACGGGCCAUGAGAGUGGUAGCCCGGAGAUGGACACUGAGACAAGGGUCCAGGCCCUACGGGGCGCAGCAGGCGCGAAACCUCCUCAAUGCACUAACGUGCGAAGGGGUUACCUCGAGUGCUAUCUGAAGAAGGUGGCUUUUCCAUGGUCUAAAAAGCCUAGGGAAUAAGAGGGGGGCAAGACUGGUGUCAGCCGCCGCGGUAACACCAGCCCCUCGAGUGGUGGGGAUGAUUAUUUGGCCUAAAGCGUCCGUAGCCGGCCGGAUAAGUUUCCCGUUAAAUCCAAUGUCUCAAGCAUUGGACUGCGGGAAAUACUGUCUGGCUAGAGAGUGGGAAAGGUUAGCGGUAUUCUGGGGGUAGGGGCGAAAUCCUUUGAUCCCCGGAGGACCACCAGUGGCGAAGGCUGCUGACUAGAACACGUCUGA
rnacentral:rRNA from 1 species